UGCUCGGUAGCUCAAUGGUAGAGCAGGCGGCUGUUAACCGUCUGGUUGCAGGUUCAAGUCCUGCCCGAGCAGCCA
rnacentral:tRNA from 1 species